ACCGACUUAGAUUUCGUUUCUUUCAUCAUUUUCGAAACCUUCCUCCUCCCCUUUGAACUUAUACUUCUUCUCACCGGUAGCGUGCAUGUUGCUUCGCUGGUUCAUAUCUUCUGUUGAGCGUGCAGACUGAUCAGAAUCCUUCGUUCAUCCCUAUUUCGCUGCUUCUUUGUUCAGUCUACAAUUCUGUUGCUCACCGUUAUAGAGGUCGGAGUCACGAGUUUGUCGUUCCCCUGUUCUUUGUUCACCAUGGAUUCCUUCUUCUCCCUUGCUCGUUGGCAUCAUUUAGGUACUGGUGAAUGAAGCUCGUCCUUUGUCCUCCUCCUCCUUCGUGCAACAGCUUCUCUUUCCUCCUCCACCAUCGAGUUCUGUCGGGCUCCCUCUCCCCUGUACAGCUCCUGCAAAUCUUCUCUCUUCUUGCUGUGCUGUCUAUGAUUAAGAUGGUAUAGUUGAACUCGUAACUCAAGGUAUCCACUGAGGAGUUUUAUUGCUGAAUUGAAGCAGAAGAAUUAUUUUAGUCAAAUUUUAAUUUGAUGAAAAUUUGAACUUUAUAUCUACAUUGGCGUCUGGCCUUAGGUGCUCCACGUAACUACAAGUAAGAUCCUCACAUUUCUUUUAAAAUUGAAUAUCUGAUUUAAUAUUAUAACAUUUUUAAUUACUUUACUAGUGUGUUUAACAUAUAAAUUUCAGAGUUUCUCUGAUCACGGCUUAAGGGAUGUGAGGUUUAUGCCCAUAUCCCAUGUCGGUCACACUUGAUUUUUGGGGUGUGACAAUCUUUCCACCUUAGAAGGGCUUCUGUUUCAAUCUCUUCAUAUAUUCUUAAACAAUUGCCAAGAAAACCGCACAUAUGGCUUGAACUGCAAGGUGAGCAUCAAAUUUAUGCUUGUCAUCCAUUUUUAUGAAACUGGUUCUCUCCCUCCCUCCCUCCCUCCCUCUUUUUUUUUUUUUUUGCACAUAUUUAUGUUGUUUUCUGGGGAUUUAAACAGGACUCUGGUUUGUUACACGAAUUGACAAUAUGUAUUAUGUAGUUAACUUUGCAUGGG